rnacentral:rRNA from 1 species
AUGAGCUCGACGAUCAGAUCAAGUUUUGGAAAACAGUGGCAAAAUAAAAUAAAAAGAGAAACAGAACAAAAAUUAAAACAGAGCAGAGAGUACCUGGGCCACUUACCUGGCCUUACCUGUAGCCGGCCCAGCCAACUGGCCCAGCCCACCACCGCAGCUCCUCCUGUCGUCUUCCUCGUCGGACAGAAGGACGAGCGCGUGUCGACGCGCACGCGCCCGAGACCUCCACCUCUUGCUUGCUUGCUGCCUCUCCCCGACGCGCCUGGAGGCGCCACGCACGCCCCCUGGAACCCCCUCGCGCUCUCCCUCGCUCACUCCCCCCUUCUCUGUUUCUCUUACGCGCGGCCACCGAGCGCAGCCGUCGCCGCCGACGAGCACCACCGCGGCCACCUUCCACCCCUCGCCUCGCAGAAGCUUCCAGAAGAACCGCCGCGCCUUCUUCUUCGUCUCCACCAACCAACGUGA